rnacentral:rRNA from 1 species
UACGUAGGGGGCAAGCGUUGUCCGGAAUCACUGGGCGUAAAGCGCGUGUAGGCGGCCCGGUAAGUCCGCUGUGAAAGUCGGGGGCUCAACCCUCGGAUGCCGGUGGAUACUGUCGGGCUUGAGUACGGAAGAGGCGAGUGGAAUUCCUGGUGUAGCGGUGAAAUGCGCAGAUAUCAGGAGGAACACCAAUUGCGAAGGCAGCUCGCUGGGACGUUACUGACGCUGAGACGCGAAAGCGUGGGGAGCAAACAGG